ACUUAGGAAUACAAAUCUUCAGGUUCUACUUCAAGUGCACAAAGUGCUCCGCUGAGAUUACAUAUAAGACAGAUCCAAAAAAUUUCGAUUAUACUGUUGAAUCAGGUGCAACUAGGAAUUUUGAGCCUUGGCGUGGCCAAGAUGAGGAAAUGGAGAAGGAGAAACAAAAAAGAGAUGCUG